GAUGAACGCUGGCGGCGUGCCUAAUACAUGCAAGUCGAGCGAACGGACGAGAAGCUUGCUUCUCUGAUGUUAGCGGCGGACGGGUGAGUAACACGUGGAUAACCUACCUAUAAGACUGGGAUAACUUCGGGAAACCGGAGCUAAUACCGGAUAAUAUUUUGAACCGCAUGGUUCAAAAGUGAAAGACGGUCUUGCUGUCACUUAUAGAUGGAUCCGCGCUGCAUUAGCUAGUUGGUAAGGUAACGGCUUACCAAGGCAACGAUGCAUAGCCGACCUGAGAGGGUGAUCGGCCACACUGGAACUGAGACACGGUCCAGACUCCUACGGGAGGCAGCAGUAGGGAAUCUUCCGCAAUGGGCGAAAGCCUGACGGAGCAACGCCGCGUGAGUGAUGAAGGUCUUCGGAUCGUAAAACUCUGUUAUUAGGGAAGAACAUAUGUGUAAGUAACUGUGCACAUCUUGACGGUACCUAAUCAGAAAGCCACGGCUAACUACGUGCCAGCAGCCGCGGUAAUACGUAGGUGGCAAGCGUUAUCCGGAAUUAUUGGGCGUAAAGCGCGCGUAGGCGGUUUUUUAAGUCUGAUGUGAAAGCCCACGGCUCAACCGUGGAGGGUCAUUGGAAACUGGAAAACUUGAGUGCAGAAGAGGAAAGUGGAAUUCCAUGUGUAGCGGUGAAAUGCGCAGAGAUAUGGAGGAACACCAGUGGCGAAGGCGACUUUCUGGUCUGUAACUGACGCUGAUGUGCGAAAGCGUGGGGAUCAAACAGGAUUAGAUACCCUGGUAGUCCACGCCGUAAACGAUGAGUGCUAAGUGUUAGGGGGUUUCCGCCCCUUAGUGCUGCAGCUAACGCAUUAAGCACUCCGCCUGGGGAGUACGACCGCAAGGUUGAAACUCAAAGGAAUUGACGGGGACCCGCACAAGCGGUGGAGCAUGUGGUUUAAUUCGAAGCAACGCGAAGAACCUUACCAAAUCUUGACAUCCUUUGACAACUCUAGAGAUAGAGCCUUCCCCUUCGGGGGACAAAGUGACAGGUGGUGCAUGGUUGUCGUCAGCUCGUGUCGUGAGAUGUUGGGUUAAGUCCCGCAACGAGCGCAACCCUUAAGCUUAGUUGCCAUCAUUAAGUUGGGCACUCUAAGUUGACUGCCGGUGACAAACCGGAGGAAGGUGGGGAUGACGUCAAAUCAUCAUGCCCCUUAUGAUUUGGGCUACACACGUGCUACAAUGGACAAUACAAAGGGCAGCGAAACCGUGAGGUCAAGCAAAUCCCAUAAAGUUGUUCUCAGUUCGGAUUGUAGUCUGCAACUCGACUACAUGAAGCUGGAAUCGCUAGUAAUCGUAGAUCAGCAUGCUACGGUGAAUACGUUCCCGGGUCU
rnacentral:rRNA from 1 species